AGUGAACGCUGGCGGUAGGCCUAACACAUGCAAGUCGAACGGCAGCACAGUAAGAGCUUGCUCUUACGGGUGGCGAGUGGCGGACGGGUGAGGAAUACAUCGGAAUCUACUUUUUCGUGGGGGAUAACGUAGGGAAACUUACGCUAAUACCGCAUACGACCUACGGGUGAAAGCAGGGGAUCUUCUGACCUUGCGCGAUUGAAUGAGCCGAUGUCGGAUUAGCUAGUUGGCGGGGUAAAGGCCCACCAAGGCGACGAUCCGUAGCUGGUCUGAGAGGAUGAUCAGCCACACUGGAACUGAGACACGGUCCAGACUCCUACGGGAGGCAGCAGUGGGGAAUAUUGGACAAUGGGCGCAAGCCUGAUCCGGCCAUACCGCGUGGGUGAAGAAGGCCUUCGGGUUGUAAAGCCCUUUUGUUGGGAAAGAAAAGCAGCAGGUUAAUACCCCGCUGUUCUGACGGUACCCAAAGAAUAAGCACCGGCUAACUUCGUG
rnacentral:rRNA from 1 species